UACGAAGGGGGCUAGCGUUGCUCGGAUUGACUGGGCGUAAAGGGCGCGUAGGCGGUUUGCAUAGUCAGACGUGAAAUUCCUGGGCUUAACCUGGGGGCUGCGUUUGAUACAUGCAGGCUUGAGUUCGGAAGAGGGUCGUGGAAUUCCCAGUGUAGAGGUGAAAUUCGUAGAUAUUGGGAAGAACACCGGUGGCGAAGGCGGCGACCUGGUCCGAUACUGACGCUGAGGAGCGAAAGCGUGGGGAGCGAACAGG
rnacentral:rRNA from 1 species